rnacentral:rRNA from 1 species
GUCGGUUGGAUCUUGCGUCCUUAAAGAGUCGGUGGCUUUCUUUUCGCGCGCGUAUGCCUUUACGGGUGUGCGUGUGAGUGGGGAAGUCAUUGCUCCAAGUCCACCGCUUACUGGUUAUUUUGCGUAUGGGUGCUUCGUUGUUUGUGCGUGAGCGCGCUCUGUCUCUCGUGGGCUCUUUUUCUUGUAUGCGGGGAUUCGUCUCAGUAUGCGGGUGGGGGUUUGCUUGAGUAUUGUGUGUUUGCGUAUACGUGGCGUUGUAUUUGUGCGUGAAGGUCAGUAAAACUCUUCUUAGAGGGAUUCACGGUUCUGAAGCCGUAAGAAACUGAGAGCAAUAACAGGUCUGUGAUGCCCUUAGAUGUUCUGGGCCGCACGCGCGCUACAAUGCCGUGCACAGCAUGUGUUUUUCCUUCUCCGAGAGGAGUGGGUAACCAUCUGAAAGCACUGACAAUUAAUGAUAAUAGCGUACUCACGUACGUCUUCCAUCGCCGGCUUGCUUGGGCCUGGGGCUUGCAAUUCUUUCCCACAAACGAGGAAUGCCUAGUAGCGGCGGGUCACUGAGCCUGCCUUGACUCAGUCCCUGCCCUUUGUACACACCGCCCGUCGCUACUACCGAUUGGGUGUACCAGUGAGAUCCUUGGACUGGCGAACCUUGUAAAGCGUGCAUUUAUGUACGAAUGAGCAAGCGUGACCGACGGAAAGAGGCUCGA